UCGCUUUGGCAGCACACAUACUACAUACAUACAUUGUGGAAUGAUACACAAAUUCACAUGGCCCCAGAACAAGGAUGACAUAUUUUUGGUUUCUUU
rnacentral:snRNA from 1 species